AGAGUUUGAUCCUGGCUCAGGACGAACGCUGGCGGCGCGCCUAACACAUGCAAGUCGAACGAGAGAUGAGGAGCUUGCUCUUCAAAUCGAGUGGCGAACGGGUGAGUAACGCGUGAGGAACCUGCCUCAAAGAGGGGGACAACAGUUGGAAACGACUGCUAAUACCGCAUAAGCCCACGGCUCGGCAUCGAGCAGAGGGAAAAGGAGCAAUCCGCUUUGAGAUGGCCUCGCGUCCGAUUAGCUAGUUGGUGAGGUAACGGCCCACCAAGGCGACGAUCGGUAGCCGGACUGAGAGGUUGAACGGCCACAUUGGGACUGAGACACGGCCCAGACUCCUACGGGAGGCAGCAGUGGGGAAUAUUGCACAAUGGGGGAAACCCUGAUGCAGCGACGCCGCGUGGAGGAAGAAGGUCUUCGGAUUGUAAACUCCUGUUGUUGAGGAAGAUAAUGACGGUACUCAACAAGGAAGUGACGGCUAACUACGUGCCAGCAGCCGCGGUAAAACGUAGGUCACAAGCGUUGUCCGGAAUUACUGGGUGUAAAGGGAGCGCAGGCGGGAGAACAAGUUGGAAGUGAAAUCCAUGGGCUCAACCCAUGAACUGCUUUCAAAACUGUUUUUCUUGAGUAGUGCAGAGGUAGGCGGAAUUCCCGGUGUAGCGGUGGAAUGCGUAGAUAUCGGGAGGAACACCAGUGGCGAAGGCGGCCUACUGGGCACCAACUGACGCUGAGGCUCGAAAGUGUGGGUAGCAAACAGGAUUAGAUACCCUGGUAGUCCACACCGUAAACGAUGAUUACUAGGUGUUGGAGGAUUGACCCCUUCAGUGCCGCAGUUAACACAAUAAGUAAUCCACCUGGGGAGUACGACCGCAAGGUUGAAACUCAAAGGAAUUGACGGGGGCCCGCACAAGCAGUGGAGUAUGUGGUUUAAUUCGACGCAACGCGAAGAACCUUACCAAGUCUUGACAUCCCUUGACGAUGCUGGAAACAGUAUUUCUCUUCGGAGCAAGGAGACAGGUGGUGCAUGGUUGUCGUCAGCUCGUGUCGUGAGAUGUUGGGUUAAGUCCCGCAACGAGCGCAACCCUUAUGGUCAGUUACUACGCAAGAGGACUCUGGCCAGACUGCCGUUGACAAAACGGAGGAAGGUGGGGAUGACGUCAAAUCAUCAUGCCCUUUAUGACUUGGGCUACACACGUACUACAAUGGCGUUAAACAAAGAGAAGCAAGACCGCGAGGUGGAGCAAAACUCAGAAACAACGUCCCAGUUCGGACUGCAGGCUGCAACUCGCCUGCACGAAGUCGGAAUUGCUAGUAAUCGUGGAUCAGAAUGCUGCGGUGAAUAAGUUCCCGGGUCUUGCACUCACCGCCCGUCA
rnacentral:rRNA from 1 species